AGAUUCUGCAAAUGGUUCAGAAGAAGGCACAGGAACCAACUCUGAGAAAACCGCAAGUUAGUUGCUUUGGGAGUCACAUUUUUCAAGCUUGUGUCUCUUUAUUUACUUAUGAUUCUUGAACUCAUUGUUUUAAAAAGUGAACUUGUAAAACAUAAUUGAGUGGUAAAUGGAGACUUAAAUGUUAGCAUUUGUAAUGGCCAAGUUUAUGUCUGUUUUGUACUUCUGAUUUCUGAAUCCUGAACUCAUUGUUUUUAAAAGUGAACUUGUAAAACAGAAUUGGGUGGUUAAUGGAGACU